GGGCCCGCACAAGCAGCGGAGCGUGUGGUUUAAUUCGAUGCAACGCGAAGAACCUUACCUGGGCUUGACAUGUACGUAGUAGUGAAGGGAAACCGGAACGAGCCUUCGGGCAGCGUAGACAGGUGCUGCAUGGCUGUCGUCAGCUCGUGUCGUGAGAUGUUGGGUUAAGUCCCGCAACGAGCGCAACCCGUGUUGCUAGUUACAAGUGUCUAGCGAGACUGCCGGUAACAAGCCGGAGGAAGGUGCGGAUGAUGUCAAGUCAGCAUGGCCUAUAUGUCCAGGGCUACACACACGCUACAAUGGCUGGUACAAAGAGAAGCGAAAGGGAGACCUGAAGCGAAUCUCAUCAAAGCCAGUCAUAGUUCGGAUUGCAGGCUGCAACUCGCCUGCAUGAAGUCGGAGUUGCUAGUAACCGCAGGUCAGCAAUACUGCGGUGAAUACGUUCCCGGGCCUUGUACACAC
rnacentral:rRNA from 1 species